rnacentral:lncRNA from 1 species
GGAGAGAGAGAGGGAACAGUGAGGGAGAGGAAGAGGUGUGGGAUACGUUUUUGAAAAGUUCCAAAAUGGAACUUUUUGCAUAUAGCUGUUUUCAGCUUUAUCGGAAAGCUAUAAUAGCUUUUCGAAAUUUUUAUCAAACACUCUUUUUCAUCCAAAAGUAUUUUUGAAGGACCAAAAAAUGCUUUUUGGUCCUCCAAAAGCUCCCCUAAAUAGAGCCUAAUUUGUCCUGGCCACCGACAAGGCCAAAAAAAAAAGAAAAAAAAGAAGCAAACAAGUGAAUUCCAUUCCAGAUUUCGAAAAUAAGC